UUUUGCUCAGGACGAACGCUGGCGGCGUGCCUAAUACAUGCAAGUCGAACGAACUCUGGUAUUGAUUGGUGCUUGCAUCAUGAUUUACAUUUGAGUGAGUGGCGAACUGGUGAGUAACACGUGGGAAACCUGCCCAGAAGCGGGGGAUAACACCUGGAAACAGAUGCUAAUACCGCAUAACAACUUGGACCGCAUGGUCCGAGUUUGAAAGAUGGCUUCGGCUAUCACUUUUGGAUGGUCCCGCGGCGUAUUAGCUAGAUGGUGRGGUAACGGCUCACCAUGGCAAUGAUACGUAGCCGACCUGAGAGGGUAAUCGGCCACAUUGGGACUGAGACACGGCCCAAACUCCUACGGGAGGCAGCAGUAGGGAAUCUUCCACAAUGGACGAAAGUCUGAUGGAGCAACGCCGCGUGAGUGAAGAAGGGUUUCGGCUCGUAAAACUCUGUUGUUAAAGAAGAACAUAUCUGAGAGUAACUGUUCAGGUAUUGACGGUAUUUAACCAGAAAGCCACGGCUAACUACGUGCCAGCAGCCGCGGUAAUACGUAGGUGGCAAGCGUUGUCCGGAUUUAUUGGGCGUAAAGCGAGCGCAGGCGGUUUUUUAAGUCUGAUGUGAAAGCCUUCGGCUCAACCGAAGAAGUGCAUCGGAAACUGGGAAACUUGAGUGCAGAAGAGGACAGUGGAACUCCAUGUGUAGCGGUGAAAUGCGUAGAUAUAUGGAAGAACACCAGUGGCGAAGGCGGCUGUCUGGUCUGUAACUGACGCUGAGGCUCGAAAGUAUGGGUAGCAAACAGGAUUAGAUACCCUGGUAGUCCAUACCGUAAACGAUGAAUGCUAAGUGUUGGAGGGUUUCCGCCCUUCAGUGCUGCAGCUAACGCAUUAAGCAUUCCGCCUGGGGAGUACGGCCGCAAGGCUGAAACUCAAAGGAAUUGACGGGGGCCCGCACAAGCGGUGGAGCAUGUGGUUUAAUUCGAAGCUACGCGAAGAACCUUACCAGGUCUUGACAUACUAUGCAAAUCUAAGAGAUUAGACGUUCCCUUCGGGGACAUGGAUACAGGUGGUGCAUGGUUGUCGUCAGCUCGUGUCGUGAGAUGUUGGGUUAAGUCCCGCAACGAGCGCAACCCUUAUUAUCAGUUGCCAGCAUUAAGUUGGGCACUCUGGUGAGACUGCCGGUGACAAACCGGAGGAAGGUGGGGAUGACGUCAAAUCAUCAUGCCCCUUAUGACCUGGGCUACACACGUGCUACAAUGGAUGGUACAACGAGUUGCGAACUCGCGAGAGUAAGCUAAUCUCUUAAAGCCAUUCUCAGUUCGGAUUGUAGGCUGCAACUCGCCUACAUGAAGUCGGAAUCGCUAGUAAUCGCGGAUCAGCAUGCCGCGGUGAAUACGUUCCCGGGCCUUGUACACACCGCCCGUCACACCAUGAGAGUUUGUAACACCCAAAGUCGGUGGGGUAACCUUUUAGGAACCAGCCGCCUAAG
rnacentral:rRNA from 1 species